rnacentral:rRNA from 1 species
CAAUAGCGUAUAUUAAAGUUGUUGCAGUUAAAAAGCUCGUAGUCGGAUUUCGGGGCGGGCCGAGCGGUCUGCCGAUGGGUAUGCACUGUUCGGCGCGUCCUUCUUUCCGGAGACUAGUUCUACUCUUAACUGAGCGGGACUGGGAGACGGAUCGUUUACUUUGAAAAAAUCAGAGUGUUUCAAGCAGGCAGCUCGCUCUUGCAUGGAUUAGCAUGGGAUAAUGAAAUAGGACUCUGGUGCUAUUUUGUUGGUUUCGAACACCGGAGUAAUGAUUAACAGGGACAGUCAGGGGCACUCGUAUUCCGUCGAGAGAGGUGAAAUUCUCAGACCAAUGGAAGACGAACCACUGCGAAAGCAUUUGCCAGGGAUGUUUUCACUGA